rnacentral:rRNA from 1 species
UACGUAGGGUGCGAGCGUUGCCCGGAUUUAUUGGGCGUAAAGGGCGCGUAGGCGGCUCUGCCCGUCCGUUGUGAAAUCGCCCGGCUCAACUGGGCGGGGUCAGCGGAUACGGCGGAGCUUGAGCAAGCUAGGGGGCAAUGGAAUUCCCGGUGUAGUGGUGGAAUGCGUAGAUAUCGGGAGGAACACCAGAGGCGAAGGCGGCUACCUGGACAAUUGCUGACGCUCAGGCACGAAAGCGUGGGGAGCAAAAGGG